GACGAACGCUGGCGGCGUGCUUAACACAUGCAAGUCGAACGGAAAGGCCCUGCUUUUUUGGGGUGCUCGAGUGGCGAACGGGUGAGUAACACGUGAGUAACCUGCCCUUGACUUUGGGAUAACUUCAGGAAACUGAGGCUAAUACCGUAUAGGAGCUCCUGCUGCAUGGUGGGGGUUGGAACGUUUCGGCGGUUGGGGAUGGACUCGCGGCUUAUGAGCUUGUUGGUGGGGUAGUGGCUUACCAAGGCUUUGACGGGUAGCCGGCCUGAGAGGGUGACCGGGCACAUUGGGACUGAGAUACGGCCCAGAGUCGUACGGGAGGCAGCAGUGGGGAAUAUUGCACAAUGGGCGGAAGCCUGAUGCAGAAACGCCGCGUGCGGGAUGACGGUCUUCGGGUUGUAAAAAGCUUUAGCCUGUGACGAAGCGUGAGUGACGGUAAUGGGUAAAGAAGCACCGGCUAACUACGUG
rnacentral:rRNA from 1 species